rnacentral:lncRNA from 1 species
UGAAUAAGCCCUCACAAGUGCUGCACUUGAUCGAUCAAAUCCAACGCUUGGGAAUUUUCUACCAUUUCAAACGUGAAAUAGACGAGCAAUUAGAACAAAUCCAUAAAAGUUACUCUCGACUUGUGUACAGAGAUUUUAAGGGCGAUCACCUUCACAUGAUUGCUCUUAUCUUUCGAUUACUACGACAACAAGGUUAUAAUGUUUCAUCAGGUAUGUUUCAAAUUUAGUUAACCAAUCCGAUAAGAUACCCAAAGAAAUCCUUCUUUCGAAAAUUAAUGCCACACAGUUUACUGCUGCUAAGUCAAAUUUUAGGAGAAACAAGACUAGGCAUGUCAUCUUUCUAAUUUGUAAUAGACUGCAUCUUUUUUCCCCACAUUGGUUUUGGUUGCACAGAGGUUUUUAACAAAUUCAAGGAUGGCGAAGGGAACUUUAGAGAAUCGCUGAUCACCGAUGUACAAGGACUUCUAAGUCUAUAUGAAGCUUGCCAUUUAAGGUGCCACGGUGAUUCUAUUUUGGAAGAAGCACUUCUUUUUGCUAUUACUCACCUUGAAUCGCUCAAUGAAAGCAAAGUAAGCACUAGUCUUGCGAAACAAGUGAAGCAUGCCCUAAGGCAGCCACUUCACAAGGGGUUGCCAAGGCUUGAGGCAAGGCGUUAUGUUCCACUCUACCAAGAGGAGCCUUCACAUGACCAAGUCUUGCUUGCCUUGGCUAAAUUAGAUUUCAACUUACUGCAAGAGCAACACCAGAAGGAACUCGGCAAUAUUACAAGGUUAAUCAACUUCAUGUGACAACAUAAUUUAGAAUUAGCUUCCAGACCAAAGGUUUACUCUUCUAAUUUCAAUUUAUCCUUCUAAAGAGUGUUUUUGAAAGUCUUUUGCAAGAGAAGAAAAAGGAGUUUAAACUAUAUGAAUUGGUCAAGAAAAAGUACUUUCGAUUUCACUCCUAUCUGUUCAAUCAUAGGUGGUGGAAGGAUAUAGAUGUUGCGAGGAAGUUCCCAUUUGCUAGAGACAGGAUUGUGGAGUUGUUCUUCUGGAUCUCAGGAGCAUAUUUUGAGCCGAAGUUUGCCGUGGCCAGAGAUAUACUCACCAAAGUGAUCGCUCUAACAUCCAUUCUUGACGAUAUGUACGACGUCUACGGCACGUUGGAAGAACUUGUAAUCCUCACAGAAGCAAUUGAGAAGUCUGUAAUCCAUUCUUUUUCUCAAACUUCUGAAUUUGAUUGAUUUCAUAAAGAGCCGUGUGUGUCAUGUUUUUGGGCACUCGAAUAUAGGUGGGAUGUUGAUGCCAUGGAUGGACUACCAGAGUAUAUGCAAGCUUGGUACAAGGUGCUUCUCGAUGUCUAUGAUGCAGUAGGGAAUGAAGUGGCCACGAAGGAAAGAUCGUACCGCCUCACCUAUGCGAAAGAAGCCGUAAGCAUCAUGGAUAAACUUUGCAUGCAACGAACACAAUUCUUAAAUAGAUACCCUAACAUUCUUGUUUAUAUAUAAUUCUCAGAUGAAGAAGCAAGCAAGAGUGUACUUUCACGAAGCCAAAUGGUUCCAUACCAACUACACACCAACGCUAGAGGAGUACAUGCCCCUUGCAUUAUUAACAACUGGCUAUGAAAUGUUAGCAAUCACGUCGCUUGUGGGAAUGGGCGAUGUGGUCACAAAACAUGCUUUUGAAUGGUUGCUUGGCGACUGCAAGAUCUUGAAGGCUUCACAAAUCAUCUGUCGGCUCAUGGAUGACAUUGCCUCUCACCAGGUUUGAUAAAAAAAAGUUAUAAUCCUCUAAUAAUCUAAUAAGAUCAGAUCGACCACCCCUUAGUCGAAGAUAAUGUCGAUAUAAUAACACCCUUUCGUUCAACGUGCAGUUUGAGCAAAAGAGGGGACACGUAGCAUCUUCAGUGGAGUUGUUCAUGAAAGAACACGACGUUUCGGAGCAGGAAACCGAAAAGGAAUUGCACAAACGAGUGGUUGAUGCAUGGAAGGACAUUAAUGAGGCGUUUCUUCGUCCGACUGCAGUUCCAAUGCCAAUUCUAAUGCGAAUUCUCAAUCUCUCACGAGUGAUUCAUGUGUUGUAUAGCGAUGGAGAUAACUACACGCAUUCUGGAGCCUUGCUCAAAGAUCACGUGACAUCUCUCUUCAUUAGCCCCUUACCAGUGUCACAUCUCUCAAGAGGAGCACAAGAAGGAACUCGGCAAGAUUACGGGUAACGUCUCUUAAAGAUCGUGUGACGUAUCUUCUCACUACGUAAAGAUUUGAAAUCAGAUUGAUGGGAAUAAGAACGCUUCAAGUGCCAAAAGUUGGCACAAAGGGACACUUAAGUGCCAAAAUUUACGAAAGGUACACUUAAGUGCCACAUUCGAAAAAAAACGGAUCACUAAAGUGCCACUUCGGCCAAAAGGCUGACGUGGCAUUUUUCCGACGAAUUUCCGGCGAAAUGAACCCAAAACGACGCCGUUUUGCACGCUGACGUGGCAAAUAAUGCAAAAACGGCGUCGUUUUGGGCUGACGUAAUAAAAAAAUAAUAAAUAAAUUAAAUAAAUUAAAUUUAAAAUUAGAUUUAGUUAAAAUAUUAAAAAAUAAAAAUUUUAAAAUUAGAUUUAGUUAAAAUAUUUAAAAAAUAAUAAAUUUAAAAUUAAAUUUAGUCAAAAUAUUAAAAAAUAAUAAGUUUAAAGUUAAGAAAAAUAUAAGGAAUAAUUCCAAAUAAUAAUUAAUUUAAAAUUACAUUUAUUUAAAAUAUUGAAAAAAAUAAUAAUUUUUUAAAAUUAAAUUUAGUUAAAUUUUAAAAAUAAUAAUUUUAAAAUUAAAAAAUUUAAAUAAUUAAAAAAAAUAAUUUUCAAAUGAGAUUUAGUUAAAAAUUUAAAAAAAUUAAAAUUAAAAUUAGUUAAAAUUUUUAUAAAAUAAAAUUUUUAAAAAAAUAAAAUUUAUAAAAAUAAAAAAAUAAUUUUAAAAUUAUUUUUAGUUAAAAUAUUUUUAAAAAAUAAUUUUAAAAUUAAAUUUAGCUAAAAUAUUAAAAAUAAUAAUUUUAAAAUUAAAAAAAUUUAAAAAAAGGGGGGGCGAUGGCUAAGGCUCCCUCACCCCCUUUUUAUUAAUUUUAUUAAUUUUAUUAAUUUUUUUUUAAAUUUUUUAAUUUUUAAGUUAUAAUUUUUUAAUAUUUUGCUAAAUUUAAUUUAAAAUUAUUAUUUUUUAAUAUUUGUACUAAAUCUAAUUUAAAAUUAUUAUUUUUUAUUUUAAAAAAAUUUAUUUUAAAAUUUUUAAUUUUUAAUAUUUUAACUAAAUUAAAUUUUAAAUUAUUUUUUAAAAUUUUUAACUAAAUCUAAUUUUAAUUUUUUUAAUUUUUUUAAUUUUUAAUUUUAAAAUUAUUAUUUUUUAAUAUUUUAACUAAAUUUAAUUUUAAAAUUAUUAUUUUUUCAAUAUUUUAACUAAAUAUAAUUUUAAAUUAAUUAUUUUUGAAUUAUUUUUAAAAUUUUUAAUUUUAAAAUUUUUAAUUUUUAAGUAUUUUAACUAAAUUUAAUUUUAAAAUUAUUAUUUUAUAAAUAUUCUGACUAAAUCUAAUUUUAAAAUUAUCAUUUUUUAAUAUUUUAACUAAAUCUAAUUUUAAAUUUAAUUUAAUUAAUUAAUUUAUUAUUUUUUUAUCCCAUGAGUCCAAAACGACGCCGUUUUUGCAUUAUUUGGCCAUGUCAGCAUGCAAAACGGCGUCGUUUUUGGCUCGGUUCACCGGAAAAAUGCCACGUCGGCAUUUUGGCCGGAUUUUGGCCGGAUUGGCACUCAAGUGAUCCAUUUUGCUCCGAUUUUGGCACUUAAGUGUACCUUUCGUAACUUUUGGCACUUAAGUGUCCCUUUGUGCCAACUUUUGGCACUCCAGGGGUCCUUGUCCCCAGAUUGAUGGCAUGCAUUUCUUUCGUCCAGCGGCAAAUGAAGACGCCAUGAGAAAGAAGCAAGAGAAAGGAAAACAAGCGAUGGAGCGGUUGUGAACAAUAUGGGAAUCGUUAGUUUAUCAAGAUCUUCAACAAAGAGGAAAAUCGACCAGAAGUAGUUGUUCCAAGAGUUGGAAAUUCCAAUGCUUUAGUAGUUUGUGUUUAUAUUGUACUCCUGAAUAUAGGAUCAAGAGAUGGAGCUUUUUUAUUUUCUAAUAGUGCUUAAGAUGUGGCAAUGAUACUGUUAAGAUCACAAGCAUUCUGAGGAAGAGCUUUUUGUGUGGGUGUGAUUUUAUCGAGAAAUGAUGUAACGUGUAAUGCUUCCCUAAUGAUCAUUAUGGCAAGGCCAUGUCCACAAUAACAAGGCAAGCUUCUUUAGAGGCAUGACAUGAAUAUUCUUUCCACCUAUUCGGCAGAUCUGUCAGUGGAAAAUUGGUAUCGUCCAUGUAAAAACCAAAAAGUGAAAAUUUACAUCAUUUCUUCAAUACCUUUCCAAUUGUUUUUGCUUUCCAAUUUGGCCUUUUCGAGACCUCAAUUUGAUGUCCACACCGACAACAUUUGAACAUAAUCAUAUUCACAUAUAAUUUACAUAAAGCAUUGGCAUAAGAAAAUAGCAUUGUAACUAUGUAAACGACAAGUCGAUUCUCUGAAAAGUCUAGGACACUGACUCGAGAAACAAUGCAACAAUGGUUCUGCAACUCAUCCAAAUAAACUGUAGACGAUCAGCUCAGAGAAGAUGGCAUGCUCUGUGUGAUGUCCCAGUGUUGGACUAUUAACUUCUCACGUCCAUGGUGGGGAGCUUCGCGGAAUGAGUGAAUGAGAAAUGCAUUGGACUACGAAUCCUUUUUAUGCCUGCCUCGUCCUCAGCCUAAUUGAGUGUCUUAAUGGGAGUUCGUUGUGCCUUUUGGGAGUUGAAGGUGCGGUUAGAUCAUUCCAUUCUGCCGAGUUCUUAAUUUGUCAGCAAAACUCAAUUCAGCCUUUGUUCAACUUGGAAAGAAUCCAAAGUUUUACCGGCAUGCUCUCUGAAUUAGCUAAACAUCAUUAGGAUCUGGGUCCUAUGUGUUUUUUUUCUCUUCUAGUCGACUUAGAUCUUGAAAUAUAAACAUAAUUUGAAAUAGUAUUAAUCGAUGUUCCUUUUGCUUUCUCACUAAUUUGGUGUUUUGCGAGUCGGGUGUAAGGAUUCGACUAUUACGCUGGCUUCCUUUGAUAUUGCUAGUAUGAGUACCUAGAGGGGGGUGAAUAGGUAUAUAAAGAAUUUUUUCUCAAGCAAUUGCACAAUACUAGACAGUUGGAUGAAACGAUAAUCAAAGUAAGACUGAGAGAAGAGAAAAUUGAACACGCGGUUUAUAGUGGUUCGGCUUAUAUCAAGCCUACGUCCACUCUUCUUCACUGACAGCCUAUUGGCUGGAUUCCACUAUGAACAAGAGAGAGGUUACAGCACAGCUUUGCCUUAAUUCCACAGUGUAGAUGUUCUACCACACCUCCUCAAGAUUUCUCACAAAUAUAGACUCUCUCUUUCGUAUACAAGUAUUCGCUCAAAAGAUUUGUCUAAACAAAAAGGAGCUUCAGACUUUGAAAUUCUUCUAUCGCGCACACCUUGAACAACUAAGACAGUCUUCCUUAUAUACUUAUUUAUGCCAUCAUACCCGUUGGCACUUACCAAAGGAAUUCCUCCAAUCUACCCGUUGGACGAAAUCAAUUAGGAAGAUUGUCCAAGCUAUAAAUGGAACGUGUUGAUAGCCCAUCAAUCCUGUUCGCCCAUACAAUCAGGAUCUCGAUUUCCAUAAGCAGAACCUUCCAAUAAUAUUUAGGCAAUCACCGGAUCUUCAAUUAUCGAAUCAAUCUUCGAUCAAUCAAAGGACUCCGUUUAUGUCUUCUCCAGCCAUGAGAUCUUCUCCAGUUGAUAAGGUUAAAUCCUCAACGAAACAUCCAGUUCUGGAUAACCUUUCUUCAACGGAUUAGAGACUGUCAAUGAAGAUAGACUUUGAGUCUUGAGUCUGGCUGUCCCAAGGUCUUCAGACUUUAAAUAGCAGAGUCUGCAAGCCUUCAGACUAGACUGAUAGAAACGAUUUGUCAACUUCAAAACACUUCAAGAAGAUUUCUCCAACAAUCUCCCCCUUUUUGAUGGUGACAAAACUUUCCUGCAGAUUUGGAUAUCUUUGACCUACAAAACAUUUCUCAAACACAUAUGCAUAUCUUAUAGAGGUAAAUGUCUUAACAGAAUAACACUAGAAUCUGCAACCACAGAAAAUAGGUUAGUCCAGUAUAUGAUGAAGCCAUCCAUAAGAUAUCAAUAUUAGUUAAUAAAAGCAGUCAAGUCCAAGUCUAGUUCAGUUCUCAUCCAGACACAAAACCAAAGUCAAACAGAUUCAAACCACAAAACAAUCCAACAAAAACAAUUAAAAGUUGAAUGAAAGGUUUUUUGAUCAAAUUUGCAUCUCUCCCCCUUUUUGUCAUCAUUAAAAAGGAUGAGAUGAAGUUAAGAUUGCUUGGGAACGCGGACAAGCUGGAAAUCUUCCAUAGACUGAACGAUGCCUUCCAGCCUUUUAAAGUCUUCCUUUAGCUGUGCAAUCUCCUCACUCUUGGCAUUGGCUUGAUUCUGAACAGAGAGGGCUUGCAUUUUAUCAUUCAAUGAACAGGAAGAAGCUUGACCUUCAUUCUUCAAGCUUUGAACUUCGCAUCCCAAGGCAUAAAUCUGACCUCGCAUCUCCAAAAGAAUAUCUAUGAUUCUGCGAAAAUCUGCUCCAUUAUCAGUUUGAGUACUUGCUUCGGCUCGAUCUGAUGGAGUAAAUGCAGAUGAUGGUAGAUCAGCAUAAUCUUGCAGGUUUGGCGAUGAAACUCCAUGACCUUCUUCUGGAAAUUGAGAUGCAUAAACAUCCUCUGGGUUUGCUGGUGAGCGACUGAUUCCUUCACUUGCAUCAGGACAUGAGACUUCACUCCUUUCUCCUGAUCUCCCCCUGUUUCCAUGUCUACAGGNNNNNNNNNNNNNNNNNNNNNNNNNNNNNNNNNNNNNNNNNNNNNNNNNNNNNNNNNNNNNNNNNNNNNNNNNNNNNNNNNNNNNNNNNNNNNNNNNNNNNNNNNNNNNNNNUUCGUCAUUGCUCGAUCUUUCUGUGGAACAGGACGACUAAAUCUCAAAGCCAAUGCAGAGAUGGUGAUGUCUCCUCAUCAUCUCAUCCUCAACAAGGAGAGCUCUUCUCUCUUGGAUGGAGCAACCAUGGGCUCCUUCCCUUUUCUUUUAGCUGUAGAAGAUAUAUGAUGAGAUUUUGCAGGAGUCUUCUCCUUGAAUUUCUCCAACUCCUUGCUCAGUUCCUUCAGACGCAUUUUGGUCACCAUUUUCAGACCUACCACCAUAUGAUCGCAUGGUCGAACACAAAAGAUUUGUGGAGGCUGAAUAUUCAGAUGUCUGAAUAACUUCGUAACAAGGCUUGGGUAAGGGAGUUGACCUCUGUCCUUCAUCAUUGCUCUAUACAUGUGAAACAUCACAGUGUGAGGGAGAAAAAACCUUUUUCCAAAGAGAAUGGCAUACAUCAACUUGGCUUCUGAACUUGAAACAUCAGUCUUGGAAGUCGAUUUUGGUCGGAGACAAUUAAUCACAAUCUUGUGAAGCAAGAUGUUAAAUGCACCCAUCCUUAAGUAGGUGAUCUUUUCAUCUGUUCUCCUGUCCUUCACCAGUUCAAGAGUGGCCCGAGCAAUGGAAACUUUGAUUGGCUGAUAUCUUCCUCUUUCGACUUCUAACACAUCUGCCAGCAUAUUCAUAUCCACACCAUAAUCUUGGUCUUUAACGCUGAACGAGAAUCUAUUCGCAUCCAAAAAGCUUAGAUUUGAAUAGAAAUAUGCAGUUAAUUCAGCAUAGGCCUCUGUAGAGUCAGAGCAGAAUUUUUCAAGUUGAAGAUAACUGAACUUUUCCCUCAAGUUCAUAUUCACAACAUCCAAAAAAUCAAAAUCUACACUCCUAGGGUUUAUCACCCCACGCUUCAGCAAUUUCGAGUACAGAUCCUUUUGCUCAUUUGAUCCGAACAAAUCUCCCCUUUUUCAUUGGUUAUCAACCGAAACACCCAUUUUCGGUUGGAAUUGACUGUACAAUUUAUCAUCAUCAUUCCCAUCUACAGGAUUCGGCCCCCAGUCACGAGGAUCACUUGGGAUAUUUGCAAGGGUUUCCUCAGCCACUCCUUUUCGAGCAAUUCCCAAACUUUCCAUUUUUUUUCAGAAAGAUAUAUUCGUUCCCAUGUCCUUUGUCUUUAAGAAAAUCAUCAAUGUAGUUCAAAGGAGUACGAAUUCCUUUUAGGGCACGAUAUAACUGAUAAAUAUAAGCGGGCUUUUGAACUCUUACAGGGUCUGCAUCCUCGAUGAUUUCUUCAUGUUGUUGAUGAUCAACGCCUUGAGGACUAGAUGGAGGAGAAUGACGCUGUUGAGAAUGUUAUGGGCUCGCUUGCUGAUCUGGAGUCACUUCAUCUUCAGUAAGAUCGAAGUGCGUAGGCCCCUCACUCAUCCGCCGUGGUCCCCUGCUUGCAAUUCUCGAAGACUUUCUUGAAGAUGACAUCUUUCUCAGUUUUUGGAAGAUUCCUUGCUUGACUUUCCCAGGAAAGAUGACAACUUUUUUAGGAUUAAACGAAGAAGACAAACGGGAAUGGAGGAUCGAUGUUUUCUAGGGUUUUUGAGAGAAAAAGUGAAGAGGAAUCGACAGUUCAAGAUCGGUUAAAAGAGGGAUAAACGAACCGUCAUAAAGGAAAUAAAAAUAUGCCUUUUCAAAAUAACUGUCUUUUUCAGCAAAAAAAUAGCCAUUUCAAAAAUAACUUCCCUUUUGAAAAUGAAACGAUGCAAUAUUUUCGUCAAUUAAAUAUAGCAACAAUUUAAACACAGUCUGACAAUCGUACCUUUUCAAGUUGAGAUUCAAGAUAGAAAGACUUACAGUCUGACAGACGUACCAAGACUGUCUUUCAGAUAAAGUCUUGUAAGUCUGAGUCUGAAAGUCUUUAGACUUUGAUAUCCUCAUACCUCAAAAUGUUGAGUCUCGAGCGUAUAGACUCAAAUUGAUUUUUCUCCAAAGGCUUUGUGAAUAUAUCCGCCAGUUGAUUCUUUGAGUCAACAAAUUGAAUUGAAAUAUCUCCAUUUUGAACAUGGUCUCUUAUAAAAUGAUGUCGAAUCUCUAUAUGCUUUGCUCUUGAGUGGAGAAUUGGAUUUUUGGUGAGGUUGAUAGCGCUGGUGUUGUCGCAAUUAAUCUCUGUGCAUGAGUCUUCAAUUUCAAAGUCUCUUAGCUGUUGUUUUAUCCAUAGAAUUUGCGAACAGCAGCUUCCCAAGGCUACAUACUCUGCUUCUGUUGUUGAAAGAGACACAGUGCUUUGUUUCCUUGAAAACCAAGACACUGUCCUGCUUCCAAGCAACUGGCAAGUUCCCGAAGUGCUCUUUCUAUCAACUCUGCAACCGGCCAGAUCUGCGUCUGAAUAUCCCAGAAGAUUAAAGUCUCCCUUCUUAGGAUACCAAAGACCGAUGCUUGAUGAUGAAGCAACGUAUUUAAUGAUGCGUUUAGCAGCACUGAGAUGGGAUUCUCUAGGAUCUGAUUGAAACCUAGCACAGAUGCAAACACUCAACAAGAUGUCAGGUCUAGAAGCAGUAAGAUAAAUGAGUGAACCAAUGAUGCUCCUGUACAGCUUUUGAUCAACUUUCUUCCCUUCUUCAUCUUUGUCUAUCUUCAAAGAACUUGACAUCGGUAUGUCGGUCUUUUUGCAAUUUUCCAGUCCAAAUCUUUUGACAAGAUCAUUAACAUAUUUUUCUUGAUAAAUAAAAGUUCAUUCCUUCAAUUGUUUUACUUGAAGACCAAGAAAUAAUGUUAAUUCUCCCAUCAUACUCAUUUCAAAUUCAUCCUACAUAGACUUAGAAAAUUUCUUGCACAUAUUUUCAUUAGAAGAUCCGAAAAUAAUGUCAUCCACAUAUAUUUGACAAAGUAAGAAAGUUUUGUUCUCCUUUUUGAUAAAUAAAGUAGUAUCCACUUUACCUUUGACAAAACCAUUUUGUAUUAAAAACUUACUUAAUCUGUCGUACCAAGCUCGAGGUGCUUGCUUUAAACCAUACAGAGCCUUCUUCAGUCUGAAGACUGAGUCUGGCUUCUUUGGGUCUUCAAACCCUGGUGGUUGUUCCACAUAAACUUCCUCUUGGAUGACUCCAUUUAGGAAGGCGCUUUUGACGUCCAUUUGGAAUAACCUGAAAUUCUUAUAACAAGCAAACGCAAGUAAUAGUCAAAUAGCUUCUAACCUUGCUACUGGAGCGUAAGUCUCAUCAUAGUCUAUUCCUUCUUCUUGUGUAUAUCCCUUGGCCAUGAGUCUUGCUUUGUUUCGUACGACUUUUCCUUUCUCAUUCAUCUUGUUUCUGAACACCCAUUUAGCUCCAAUAACAGUUUUACCUUUUGGUUUGGAUGUCAAUUCCCAGACAUCAUUAAUGCUAAACUGUCUGAGCUCUUCUUGCAUAGCUUAAAUCCAGCUUUCAUCAGAUAAAGCUUCUUCUAUGCUUUUUGGUUCAAUUUCAGAAACGAGAGCCACAGCACUAGACUCUUCUCGCCUUUUGGAUCUGGUGCGAAUUCCUUCAUUCAUUUCGCCGAUUAUAAGAUCUUUGGGAUGACUGGACUUAUGCUUCCAGUUACUCGUUGAUCUGUCUGGUUGAUGAUCUCUUUCUUUGUUUGGAUCUUCACGAACAUCUUGAAGCUGGUUUUCCAGAGUCUGAGAUGCUUCUUGAGAUGUAAGCUUUGGAAGAUCUGAAGCAGGUUCAGACUCUUCUUGAUGAGUCUGACUUGAUUCAUCUUGCGUUGAGUCUUGGAAUUUGACAUUCAUUGACUCCUCCAUAGACUGGCUCUUCUUGUUAUAGACUUUGAAGGCUUUGCUUGAUGUAGAAUAUCCAAGGAAGAUACCUUCAUCUGAUCUUUCUUCAAACUUACCAACUCGAUCUUUUGCAUUUUUCAAUAUAAAACAUUUGCAACCGAAUACAUGAAAGUAUAAAACAAUAGGCUUCUUAUCUUUGAACAAUUCGUAAGGGGUUUUCUCUAGAAUAGGUCUUAACAAGACUCUAUUGAUGAUAUAACAUGCUGUUGAAACAGCUUCAGCACAAAAUCAUGAAGAAAUCUUGCUUUCAAUUAAAAGAGUUCUAGCCAUUUCCUGAAGAGAUCUGUUCUUUCUUUCCACAACUCCAUUUUGCUGAGGAGUAUAUGGAGAGGAGAACACAUGAUUAAAGCCAGAUUCAUCACAAAAUUUUGUAAAAUCUUGAUUUUCAAAUUCACCUCCAUGAUCUGUUCUUAUACUUGAGAUAACACAUCCUUUUUCAUUUUGAACCUUUUUAGCAAACUUUUCAAAAUACGAGAAGGUUUCAGACUUACUUGCAAGGAAAUAUACCCAAGUAAAACGGGAGUAAUCGUCCACAAUUACUAGGCAAUAUUUCUUACCUCCAAUACUCUGUGUUCUGGUUGGUCCGAAGAGAUCCAUAUGCAGCAACUGUAGUACAUGAUUAGUAGAGACAUGAUUUAUUGGCUUGAAUGAAUUUCUUACCUGCUUUCCCAGAAUACAUGGAGUGCAUGGAUCAGUCUUUUGAUAAGGUAAUUUGGGUAGUCCUCGAACAAGCUGCUUUGAUGAGAUUUUGGCUAAUUGCUUCAUGUUGACAUGACCAAGCUUUCUGUGCCAUAAGCUUGCUUCGUCUUGAAUUGAGAUAAAACAUUGCGAUUCAUUUGGUUUCACAUCCAGAAGAUAAAUGUUUCCAUGUCUACGACCCAUGAAAGACUGAGUAGAGUCUUUACUGAUUCCAGAACAUAUUCCUUCUUGAAAAAAGAUCUUGAAACCAGUAUCACACAAUUGACUAAUGUUGAGAAGAUUGUAAUUGAGUCCUUCCACUAAGGAAACAUUACUUAUUGUGAGAUUUCCAAUUUUCACAGUUCCAAAUCCCACAAUACUCCCUUUGUUGUUUCCUCCAAAUGAAACUUUUCCACCAUUUACUUGAGCAAUCUUUAUAAAACAAUUUGAGUCUCCUGUCAUAUGUCUUGAGCAUCCAUUGUCAAGAUACCACUUUACCUUUUUCUUGACGGUAAUCUGCAUUUAAAAAAGAGUCUCAAGCUUUCUUUGGUACCCAAACUUUCUUGGGUCCUUUUGUGUUAGUAACAUAAGCAGUAUUAGCCCAUAUUCUCUUAACAAGUUUCCAAACCAUAGGACACUCUUUCUCAAAGUGAUCCAGACUGUUGCAUUUUGAACAUUUUAGAGCAUUUAUUCCUACAGAUUUUACAAAAACUUUCUUGAAGUGAUUUUUGUAAACCUCUCUUGAGAGUCUUUUCUUAAUUCUUUCUUUUACUUUAGGAAAAUCAAUCAGGGGAAUUGUUUCUUUUGACAUUCCUAGACCGGACUUAUUGAAGUAAGGUCUUUGUGUUGAAAGAAUUUUCUCAAGUUUUUCAGACCCUAUUGAAAAUUUCUUUGAUAUAUUUGAUAAGUCUGUUUUUAAAAAGACAUUUUCUUUUGAAAGAUUAUCUCCAUUUUCUUUAAGAUUGGAAACAGUCAAGUCUAGACUUUUAACUCUUUCUACUAAAACAUUUUCCUUUUGUUUUAGAGCUGAGUUUUCCUUUUUCAGUUCGGAAAUUCUUUUGAGAGAAGUCUUAAGACUAAAACAUAAUUCAUCAAUAUAUUUAGAAACUUUGACAGGAAUUUUAAUAUCACUUGCCUCAAAUUCACUGUCUGAGUCUGAUCCAGAGUCUGAGUCUGAUUGUGCCAUCAGACAUAGAUUGGCAUAUUCAUUAUCACUUUCUUCACACUCUGUGUCACUCCAGGUUUCGGCUUUGAGAGCUUUUCGAAAUCUUUCAGCUUUUCCUUUCUUCUUCUUCAGAAGAGGAUAGUUGGGUCUGAUGUGUCCCUUUUUCUUACAUUCAAAGCAGACUAUGUCUUUGUUUGGUUCCUCAUCAUCAACAGACUUGGUCUGCUGUCUUUGAAAGCUUUGUUUCUUUGAGUUGAACCUUCUUCCUUUUCUAUUCAGUUUUCUGAAUCUUCUUAUCAUGAGAGCAAGCUCCUCAUCGUCCAUAUCUUCUUCAGAAUCUGUAUCAUCAGAAUCAUCAUUUGAUUUUAAUGCAAUAGAUUUCUUACCUUUUGGAUCUUCAUCUUCAUUGAUCCGUUCCACUUCAUAAGACUGAAGAGUUCUAAUUAGCUCGUCGACAGAUAGUGGCAUAAUUCUUUGCGUCUCUCUUAUCAAAGUCUUUAUGUGAUUCCAAUCCCUGGAGAGUCCACGCAGUAUCUUGUUUACCUUCAUGGGAUCAGAAGUUGGUUGACCUUGAUUUUCAAGACCAUUCACAAUAUCUGUAAAACGACUAAACAUGUCAGAUAUAGAUUCUCCUGGUUUCAUUCUGAAGGCUUCGUAUUGACCGAGAAGAAUGUUGAUUCUAGUUUCCUUCACUCGAUUUGUUCCUUCAUAGGUGAUAUGCAAUCUGUCCCAAACUUCUUUUGCUGUACCACAAGAAGAUAUUCUAUUAUAUUCAGUUGGUGAUAAAGCACAAUAUAAGGAGUAAAUUGCUUUUGCAUCGAGUGUUUGUCUCUUGAUUAUUUCUUCCUGAGACAUUCUGCUGGUUUCAUCAGUUUCUUUUCCUCUUUCAAAGACUGAUGCAGUGGUAGGAGUAAUUCCUUUUUCUACAACGUCCCAUUCCAGAGGAUCCUUUGAUCGAAGGAAAGCUUUCAUCUUGUUCUUCCAGAUGUUGUAAUCAUUUCCAUCAAAGUAGGGUGGUCUGGUAUUGCUUUGCCCUUCCAUCAGCCCUGGUGCUAGCAUACUAGCCAUGGAUCUUUUACUACGAAGUAAAACACUUCAAAUAAAGUAAGUACACAGGCUCUGAUACCAAUUGAUAUUGCUAGUAUGAGUACCUAGAGGGGGGUGAAUAGGUAUAUAAAGAAUUUUUUCUCAAGCAAUUGCACAAUACUAGACAGUUGGAUGAAACGAUAAUCAAAGUAAGACUGAGAGAAGAGAAAAUUGAACACGCGGUUUAUAGUGGUUCGGCUUAUAUCAAGCCUACGUCCACUCUUCUUCACUGACAGCCUAUUGGCUGGAUUCCACUAUGAACAAGAGAGAGGUUACAGCACAGCUUUGCCUUGAUUCCACAGUGUAGAUGUUCUACCACACCUCCUCAAGAUUUCUCACAAAUAUAGACUCUCUCUUUCGUAUACAAGUAUUCGCUCAAAGGAUUUGUCUAAACAAAAAGGAGCUUCAGACUUUGGAAUUCUUCUAUCGCGCACACCUUGAACAACUAAGACAGUCUUCCUUAUAUACUCCUUUAUGCCAUCAUACCCGUUGGCACUUACCAAAAGAAUUCCUCCAAUCUACCCGUUGGACGGAAUCAAUUAGGAAGAUUGUCCAAGCUAUAAAUGGAACGUGUUGAUAGCCCAUCAAUCCUGUUCGCCCAUACAAUCAGGAUCUCGGUUUCCAUAAGCAGAACCUUCCAAUAAUAUUUAGGCAAUCACCGGAUCUUCAAUUAUCGAAUCAAUCUUCGAUCAAUCAAAGGACUCCGUUUAUGUCUUCUCCAGCCAUGAGAUCUUCUCCAGUUGAUAAGGUUAAAUCCUCAACGAAACAUCCAGUUCUGGAUAACCUUUCUUCAACGGAUUAGAGACUGUCAAUGAAGAUAGACUUUGAGUCUUGAGUCUGGCUGUCCCAAGGUCUUCAGACUUUAAAUAGUAGAGUCUGCAAGCCUUCAGACUAGACUGAUAGAAACGAUUUGUCAACUUCAAAACAUUUCAAGAAGAUUUCUCCAACAUCCUUGAGCGGGAAUUCCAAUUCCUCCUUGGGAACAACAACCACUAUCAUCACUCAGAUUCAAAGCUCAAGCUCUGGAGAUGAGUUGUUACAGAUCCAGAGGAAAAAGAAGAGUAUGGAGCCGAACAAGGAGUCGGCUAGGCGGUCGGGGAUGUAGAAGCAAAGGCGCUUGGGCGAGCUUAUGGCCGAAGUGGGCCGACAGAGGAAGGACAACAACCAGAUCAUCACGAGCAUCACUCACCACUUUCUGGGCCCUAGAGGCUUAGAACUCGAUCCUGAGAGCUUGCGCACUCUUGAGCUAAGCUAGAGACUACAGUCCCUCAAGGACAUUCUAUUUUUCUUAAAGAAGAAGAUGAAUUGGAGAGUUUUCGGGAGGAAGAAGGGAGAAGAGGAUGAAGAAAGAAAAUAAAAAAAGAAAUAAAAAAAGGGCAUUUAGACGAAAUGCCCUUGAUCAUGGUUUGGAAAUUGACAUGUUAAAUGCACAUGCUUAUCAAGCUUUUGUUUGAGAUUAAAUUGAUUAUUUUAGGCUUUUAUAUGAAAUAAAGUCUACUCGAGGCACUCUUUUGAAAAAAUUAGCUCACUUUAGGUCAUUAUUUGAAAAUUUCCCUUCUUUUUUCUUUCUUUUGGGGUGAAGAUCUUAUGAGAGGAUUAAUCCGCAUCCACGCAGUAUAUUUUGUAUCAUUGACUUUUGGACAAAAAUGCCCUUGAUUAUGGUUUGAAAUUGGCAUGUAAAAUGCACAUGCUCGUCGGGGCUUUAUUAUUAAGUUGAUUAUUUCAAACUCUUAAUUAAAACAAAAUUAACUUCGAACCCUCUUGUGAGAAAAUGAACUCACUUAAAGCCUUUAUUCAGAAUUUUUCUUAUGGUAUUUUUGUUUCCUUUUUAGGCCAAGAUUUUACGAGUUGAUCACUCCGCAUCCAUGAUUUAUAUCUCGGAUCAUUGACUUCGGCUCCACUACAAAUGUCCAAGUCCGCGGUGGUGCAGUUAUCUCUUCAAUAAAGAAACCAACUAGUUCGGACUUUUGAUUAGAGACAAUAUCCGUGUCUCCUAAAACCAAAAGUUGUUUUCAUUGAGCUUCAAUGUAACAAAGUUUGCAAAUUGAUAUUCGAAGAAAAUGGAAAUUACAGGUUUAAAGAAUGAGACGGCAUGCUUAUAUUGAUUUUCCUUUUUAAUAAGAAAAGGUCAAUGUGCCCUUUCGUGGCUCUGAUACCAUAAAAAUAAAGAAGGAUUGAAUGGACCACAAAUAUUUCAUUGAUACUUACAGUAAUAUCUUAAAUGAGAAUAUUGUUACCUAUAAUCAUGGUGGAAAGUAAAUAUAAAGAUAGUAAUUUAUCUAAAUGAAAAUUGAAUAAAAACAAAUCAAGGGAAAAUAUUUAAAUGAUUAGUUCAAGGAUCCUCUCCUUGAUAAGUUAUCUUCCUGCUGAUUUGUGGAAGAUUUCCAGUUAUAACCACGCUGAUAUGUUGCUAUUUGAUUUGUUGCUUCAGUAGUAAUCACCCCACACGCUCGGACGAAGAUCCGUCGCCUCGUGUUCCUUUGUUGGGAGAAGAAGAUGAAAUUUCUUAAACCUCGACUGACCUAUUUUCCCUACUUUUCAUGUUUCAUUUUUUGAUGAAUGACCAAUACACAAAUAGUGGAUCUUCGAGUGGCCCUUUGCGUUGCAAAGCAUCACACUACUUGAUGGGCAUCUAUAGAAAAUAUGUUCAUAACCAUCAUGUUACUUAGACUAAUUUUGAGAUCAAAUCAAUAACAUUUCAAUGAAUAAUACCCUAGUGAGAUUAUUUCAUAUGAAAAGGGAAUAUGCUCCUUAUGGUAUCUUUGAUCUUAUCCAUCCCAUCCUUGAUAUGACAAUAGAUAUCCUUAUAUUUAAAUACAGCUAUUUUAUUUUGGGAAAAAAUUAUUGCUUAUAAAUCGGUAAAUUUUGUGUCUUCCAUAACUAGACUCAGGGUCCUUUUUUCAGGAAACUUGUAAUGUUAUCCUUUUGUGACAAGCUGAGUCUAAUCAUAAAGCAUACACAGUGUGUGGUUUUUGGCUUCCAAUAUGAGUGGCUAACUCGGUUAGUGGUGGAGCUCGAUUGGCUUGACUACGAUCUUGGAUUCAUUCGUCGAGUCACGCCGUUCCUAUUUUUACCCCCAGACACUAUUCUUGCUGUAUUCGAAGCUGAGUCUAAUCAUAAAGCAAUACGGACCAAUUGAAUUAGGAAUUGCUCUGAUCAAAUUGGACCACUGAUUUUGGGUAAUUCCCGAAGGCAUCAGUCCGGUUCUUGGUACUGGUGAUUUUGAGUCUAAUCCCUACUUUCAGGGAUGAACUGGAUUGGAUCGAUCUAUUUUUUAACUUAUUUCUCAUGCAUUCAUUUCUCUCUUUUUUCCCUGUUUUCUCUCACCAUGCCUCUUUCAGACUUUGACAGCCCUAAUUGUCUCACGUCUCUCAGCCUUGCUCACGGUAAUCGGCUCUAGUCUCUCAACCUCGCUUGUUGACUGUAAUUGCUUCUCGGGAAUCUGAUGGUGAGCACACCAUUAGCGCUCACGGGAGCCGUGGCCUCACUCACCCUCAUCCUGUGGUCCCUUCGCAGCUUCACAUUAAUGGUCUCGUCCCCUCAGCCAAUCACCCACAAGGCAUGGCCCCAUCGGAUCUCCACGCUCACCUCAUUUGGCCUUAGCCACGGCUUGUCCAUCUUGCACAUGAAGGCGGCCACCGUCUCUUCCUUGGGGACCUGGUUGUACAACGUGGUGCCCAACAUGCUUUGGGUGGUAAGAAGUUAGAGAGGGUCGUUGAAAAAGAAGGGCACAUCUUUGAUUUUCUUCAGGCACUUGUCAUUAAGUUCGACAUUGGAUCUCAUGGGAACCGGUUUGGUUGUCCAAUCUGGUCCUAGGACCUAAUGGUCUAAUUCUUGAGUGGGAUUGGACCAGGAACCAAUUGCCUUUAAUUCAAAGUAGUGUGAGGGCUAAACCUAUCAAAUGGGUGGGCCAAAUUAGGUUGAAAAUGGUUCGACCCAACUUGACUCAUUUAACCCGUUUUAAUUACAUGACUUUACUCAUAUUGCUAAAACACUUCUAUAUUUAACUCAAUUUAGAAAAAAUUAUGCUCAAACGAAGGUGAAAGCACGGAGCGAUCGAAAGUAAGAUUUACAGAGAGUCAUAAAUGUCGAUUAGGUCUAAGUAAGCUGUGAAUUCAUUUAAAACCUCUAUUAAAUAUGUUUAUUACCCAUCUAUCAAAUAUAAUCUAUCCAUAGCUAAUUAAAUAUGCUUAAGAAAUGAGUUUAUUACCUAUUUUGAUAUGUCUAAGUGCUAUAAAAGUUUAGAGUAUAGCACGUCACUAGUUGAGGACAUGAAAUAUACAUACAUAUAUAUAUAUAGGCUUUUAAUAUGGACCUCAUAGUGAGCUCUUUUAGAUCUAUUGAACCAUUCUCUAGCCCGGUAGGAUUUUCAAAGAAAUGCAGCUCGGCUAGUUGGAAAUGUUACCAUCUUCACACCCUUGAGUGUCUUUAUACUUUGAACUAAAUUCUGAGUAGUUUGUUUUUAAAAGGCUGUCCCAAAAGCGCUUGAACAAGAAGCUUGUCUACUUGGGGGAAAAUAUACCUGUAACAAUUGACUCAGUUUUCCUUGAUGCACAAAUUGGAUGUGUAAAAUUUUUCAUUUUGAUUCAUUGCUUGUUUGUAAUAUUUUUUUUUUCAAUAUAAAAGGGUAUAAUUUCUCUCUUCUUGACUUUUGUAAUUCGUUUUGACGGGAGACAGGUGAUAUAGCAGGACAAAUAUACUUUUCUUAGAAUGAUUUCACAGUCAGAUUGCAACAAAAGAGUAUGAUUUGAUUGAAGAUUAUUUUGGUUCAACAGUGUUCCACGUGAUUUGAUUCACAUCGUCCUAGAAUUUUAUAUGCAGACUAAACGUGGAUGUCUCGUGAUUGCUUGUCUGCCAACCACCCACAAUUACCACACCACCAUGUAUUUUUUUUUUUUUUUUGAAUAAACAGCCGAAAAAUGCCAAUCAGUUCUUUUUUAAUAAUUUAUUAGCAGAACACACUGCUUAUACAUAGCUGACUAUGGAACUUUUCAAUUUUCAAAGCUUUCACCUUAUUUAUAUUAAUACUUGAAUUAGUAUUAAGUGAGUUAGUGAGGCUCAAACAAUACGCACCCGACCUUUAUUUGUGUAGGAGGAACGUCAAUCAAAUAAUUUUCCCUCUUAACACAAAGAUUAUGAUAAACCGGUGAUUAAUGUCCUUCCAACGCGAUAAAACCGUUAUGGGCUUGCCUCAGUGACUACAAUUCCCACGUGGGAAGGGAAGGCGGGGGGAUCACAGUUCCCUUACUCCGGAUAGAAGAGGAUUAUGGGUCUCAUCUGCCAAAUUUUAGGAAUACACUUCGGCGACCCCAAAAAAAAAAGAAAGUAAUCAAUGUAUCUUUUCACUUUGUACAACCUUCAUUUAUUUUAUUCUUCCUAUCGAGUUACUUUAAAUUGCUUAUUGGUUUUUAGGGAGAAGACUAUACUAUGAUAAAGAUAGGAUCCGAUCAAAUUGGAGUAUGUCAAGAACAACGAAUAUGACGAGUACUAGCAACAAGUAAGUAGCAACAACUGACAUGCUUUUUAACCCGAAAGCAUGAUAAAGAGCAAAGCAUUGGAGGAGUCAGGACCCAAAAAGUGCUUGAUUUGAAGAUCAUAUGGUGGAGGAAUUAAGGAUGUGCAACUGGCUUAUCGGAGGUUAGAAAAUUCAUCAUUGCAUUAACCAAUAUAUUAUAGAUUACUUACAUUGUAUAUUUUCUUAAAGUAAUAGUUAUAUUACUUAGAGUUAAGCUCAAUUACCAAGUUGAUCCUUGAACCGACAUUGGCUUGGUUUCCAAUUCCAAAAACCUGGAAAACUAGUUUGAUGGAAUCGAUUGUGUUUCUCCUUUUUUUUUUUUUGUGGAGAUUUUCAUCUGUCAUGAACUAUUAAUUUGAUUUUUUUUUUCGCUUUUUAACCCUUGAAAAUUUUUAAUUUAAUUGAACUGUUGAAGUUCGGGUUUUAGAAAUAUAUACUUUUGGAGAUUUGGGUCAUUUUCUUUUUUGGAUCGAAGAUGGUACUUUCAUUUAUUCAUAAAAAUGAGAAUUAUAGGAAAAUGAUAGAUACGUUUCGGAACAUAAAAUCUCCAAAAGAGGUAAAGAAGGAAAAGACGCCUAAUUUAGAAAGAGGGUUUUGAUUCGAAGGACUUUGACGGUUCAGUUGGCGGCUUGGUUGGCCUCCCUUGGACAGUGGGCCAACUUUGUUGAAUCCAUUUGGGUUGAAAGCCCUUUGCAUUAAUCUGUUAUAUCCCUUACAUCCUAUGGAUCGUUUGCCCGGCCAUAAUGCUUUCUAUCAAAGCCGAACUAUCACUUUCCCAUUCCCACUUCUCACUUUGUACUUGUUCUGUUCCCACAUGCACGUCCUUUUUCUGCCUCAAGUACUCCAGCCUGUGCAGCAGAGUUAGGCUUCUGAUUGUAGGGAGGACGGCGCUCGAACCUCACGCACGAAGCCAUCGACGACUCUUCCGUUUGAAUCGCGCAAGAUCCUAGCAAUUGAGCUAAAAAAUUCUCCUUGCAUCCACAAGCAAUCAACAUUUAGCUUCACCGAUCCACCCUCCGGCGACAUCCACUUGACAGGUUUGUUUGGAUUUGUGGGUUUCUUUGACCCUUUCUUCCUUUGCCAUCUACUGAAGUUCUUCGUUUGUGCAUGAGCUAUAUCAACGAGAGAUCGUGAAUCUGGUGGCUUGGCUCGGAAGACGAAGUCGUUGUGUAACAUCCAGAUCGUCCAGAGCACAGCCGCGAUCAUCUCAUUCUCGGGUGAUUCUCUUUUCUCUUCGAAGACUUCUGUGAGCCACUUGUCAAAUCUAGUUAUAGUGAAGGGAUUCCAGCUGAGAUUAAUUCGUGGGUCUGACCAUACUUGUUUUGUCCAAUUGUAGAGCAAAAACAGAUGUUCGAUUGUCUCUGGAUGGGUGGCACAGGGCGGGCAAAUGAGAUAAGGUAAUAUCUUCCUCUUGUACAGAUUUUCUCUUGUCGGUAUAGCGUCUUGACAGAGGCUCAUUUUCAGAGGGAUAGAUAAAUACUAGAUCUUGGUCCACAAGGUUCUAGGAGGCUAGAAAGAACUUGAUGCUUUGUUUGGUUCUAUUUUUGUAGUCUGGGAACAAACCUUGUUAUAGCCAUUCUUCACUAUAUAAGUCCUUGAUUUGUUGUCGAUCCACACUAGACUGUCUUUCUUUGGGUGAGGACUGAUUGGAAUAGCUAGGAUUUCAUCGACUACUCAAUCGUCAAAAAGAUUCUGAAUCUCAGUUUCAUUCCAGCCCCAUAUUUCUUCAUUAAUUAGUUCAAUCACCAUCACGGGGUCAUCUUUAUUCGCUGGACCUCCAAUCACUAUCAAUGUGAGCCAUUUGUCUUCUCGUAACUGAAUAGAUUUAUUGUUCCUCACUAUCCAUUUUACCUUCGAUUCUAUAUCUUCUCUUCCAGCUAAAAUGCUUUGUCCUCCCCAUGAUGAACAUUACCCCUUUAUUACCUUCCACAAGUCUCCAUUUGGGAAAUAAAUUCCUUUUAGAAUCCUGCUCCAUAGUGUUGAAGGGGACUAAGAUAGCUGCCAAGUUUACUUACCUAGCAUUGCUUUGUUGAAAUGUAUCGAGUCUUUGAAACCAAGCCCCCCCUUAUCUUCUCUAGUUUUCAUCACUUCCCAUUUUUUUUCAAUGCAAUCCUCUCUUUGAAUCAUUUUGUUUCUACCAAAACAAGGCAAUUCUUCUUUCUAUGGCAUUGCAUAUUGAGAUGGGUAUUUUAAAAAUUGGCAUUGCAUAUUGAGGAAGAGCUUGUACUACACUUUUUAUCAUAGUUCCCUUACCUAUUUUGGAUAGUAGCUUUUCUUUUCAACCCUCAAGUUUCAAGUUUACUCUAGCAAGAAUCCAUGCAAACAUCUCUUUCUUUGACUGGUCCAAUCGGAUGGAAUGCCGAGAUAUUCCCUGUCUUGUAUGCUCGUGAAAUCUUUUCAUAAUAUUUUAAGCAUAGAAUAAUUUUUCCUACUUUGGCGGGAAGCCAUACUUUGCUAUAGACUAAGGAUGGGAUGAAGGGGUGACGGUCCCCUGCUUGAUGGGCUUAGCCAGACUCUGGCAUUUUUCAUCCUGUACAAGGGCCAGCCCAUCUUCAGAAGGAUUUUUGUCCACAAAAGUCAAGAAAAAAUUUCUUUCCCCUAUCCAUGGUUUUAUAUUCUGGCAUUUCCUCUAUUUUACUUCUUAUUUUUGCUAGAUUCGAGUUCGUCCAUGCAAAAAAAAUUACUUCCGCUUGUUGUGGCUUUUUUGGCAUUUCAUGGUGAUUUUUCGUGUUUAAUACUUAUGAAUUUUCUUACGCAUUAGAAACAGACAAACAAACAGGAUAUUUCAUAAUCUUGAUAGGGAAACUCUUAAAAGAAAGCUUAAAUACAACCAUGCUAUGCCAUGGGACAAAAAUAUAACAAAGGUUCUACAUCAAUUAAGUGAAAAAGUGAAAUAUAAAAAUUCAUGUGUUUUUCAUUUAUUCUGAAACAGUAAAGUAAUUGUUUGAAAAUUGACAAACGUUCAUCUAUUGUACUAGUACUAAUUGUUCUAUAGUUUUAACAUUUCUUUACAUAACAAGCAAGGUUGGCUAACUGAAGCUAAAUAACAAGACUAUAUCAUACUCGAUGCUAUUUUAAGUUAUCAUUAGAUCAAUAUUAAUGACUGAUAGUGUCAUAACAUUUGAUAACAUCAUUAAAGUAGUUAACUUAAUUUAUCUAAGGUAUGGAAAAAGCACAACAAUCAUAUUAUAUUUAAGUUUGAUUUGAAAAUGUAAGCAUACUCACAAUCCUACGCUCAAAAGUUAAGUUGGAAAAAUAAAAAAGGAAAGAUGAAUUUGGCUUUGAAUAGAUUGAAAAAUAUAAUGAUUAAUCUCCUUUUCCUUUUUUGGCAUGCCUACUUGCUUCUUUAGUGGCAAAGGGUGAGGGGCUUCAUGAUUUGUCAGGUUAAAAAAUUUGCUACUUCUAAUGGGUUGUAAUAUGAAUUGAUAUGAAACAAGAUAUAUGCUUAUCUUGUACCAGUCUUCUAGGUAAUGUUAAGAUUUUGUUGCUUUAGUUGGAUGGUAGAAAUGACAUGUGCACAAAGUAUUCUAGUUACUUGCCAAGCUCAUCAUUAACCCUUUCUACCUCCAAUUGGGCAACAUACUUAUCACCAUUGUUCAUGAUCUCAUAUCCAUCAUCCAUAUUCCAAACUAAAUAAUAGAAUCUAUUAGCAGCCAUAUUAUCAUCCAAUCUCUUAGCAAAUUUAGGAUCACACUUUCUCGUCCAUUUUAUAGCCUCAUCCCUUCGUCUUUACAGUCUAGUCAUAACAUCAUUUGUAUGUCUUCAAGGAUGCUACUGCUUUAUUUGCAUCUCGCGUCUAUCAUUCAAGCUUGCUAAUGCAUGUCUUCAUAGAGGUUGUCAUUAAUGAUAUGAUACUCAACUUCUUCACCAAAGAAGACUCUACACCACUGCUCACGUGCGACAUUGUUUAGGGUGCCGCAUUUUGUCUAUUUUGAGAGAUAAAUCCAAUUUAAAGGGUGUGGCAUCAUUUUGGUGCAGAAAGGUCACCUCAUUGUCAACGUUGGACUUCUAUUUUUUUUUUAAUAAAAGAAUCACGUAUGAAUAUAAAUUUUAUUCAAAAAGACACGUAGGACUUUUUGCCAAAAUUUGUAGCUGGAAGCACUUAGAUGAUUGUUUUUUCUUCGAUUUGGCGGCGAAAAGUUUUGAUACUAAAAACAUGUAUGAAUUGCCAUUUUAUUAAUAAAAAAAAACACGUAGGACAUUUCAUUAAGAAGCACUUAAAUGAUUGUGUUUUUCCAAUUUGGAACUUAAGUUAUCCAACGAAAAAUUUUGAUACUAAAGUGAUUGCUCUAUGAAAAUUUUGACACUUUUAAUAUUUUUUCUCCAAUAUUUGUAUAUUUAAAUUUUGAAGUGACUAGCCAAAAAAAAAAAAAACUUAUUGCUUAUGAAGCGGUAAAUUUUGUGUCUUUUCCAGAACUAGACCAAGGCUCUUUUUUUAGGAAAUUUGAAAUUGUUAUGCACUUUGUGCAGUAAUUAUCCUUUGUUAACUGGCUGAGUCUAAUCAUAUGAAGUGUAUAAAGUAUACUAUAUUCGACUUACAAUUUGGGUGGUCUACUCGAUAUUGGCUCCAUCACAAUGUUGGAUUCAUCCAUCGAGUCACAUCAUACUUAUAGACACUACUCUUGUUACAAAAGGGGGUUGGAAUUAGGAACUUCUUCUUAUUGCAAUUUAGCAGAAAGAAUUCCACCUGCACAAUAUAGAAUCAUCAAAAUAGUGAAACGUUAUUUCCAUUUUGAAUCUCAUCAUGCAAAGUUGCAAACUAGCGAUUAACCUUUCAGCGGCUGGAUUAAGGAGGCCUCCUUCUUAACGUGAUAAGAUUUGACACCCCGUUCCUCUUUUCAACAUUCAUGGUCAAAAUCUUCGUGGAAAAAGUGCUCCUAAAAUAACGAGUCCAACCGCGCUAUCUCCUAGUAAAGGACAAACUCCAUUAUUCAAUUCCACAUCCACUACACAUCAAAACAUCAUUUGGUGAUAAUUUGAUUAGUAUGAAGCAUUACCAAAUGAUAUUUACCAAUUUAGUUCAUGUGCAAAUUAUCAAAUGAUGUUUAUUUUCAUGUGCAUAUUGCAACAAGAAUACCACGUUCUCUACACAUCAAAACAUCAUUUGAUUGAUCUAAAGCAUUACCAAAGUGAAAAUUUCAAAAAAAAAAAAAAAAGGCCAAAGUGUCCUCAUUUUUUAAAUAAGAAUCCGAAAUGAAUUUUAUUUCAAAUAAGAGCCUUAAAUGUCAUCACUUUCCCAAAUAAAAGACUCGAAAUUGUUAUAUUUAUUUUAAAUAAGAGCCUAACUUCCCUGCAAUUAAGGACAUUUUCGUCAUUUUUUUCUUUUUUUGAAAAGGAAGAUAUAAGAAUAAAAAAGGGAGGGGGAAGUGACGGGUCACGUGGAGGGAAAAAAAGUGAAAAAAUUGGGGAUGGGAAAAAGACGAGGGAAGGGAGUUUGGGCGCCGCUGGGGGUGGGAGGGGGGGGGGGGGGCCGAAAUUAUUAAAAAAAAUUAAAAAAUAAUUUCCAAAAAAAAAAGAACUGGAAGGAAUUUGAAGGAUUAGGGGAAAUUCAUUUUAGGUUCUUUUUUAAUUAAUUAACAAAUUUAAAAUUUAGAUCAAAUUAAUUAAAAAAAAUUUUUUUUAGGGAAAAAAUGCCAGAACUUGUCGGAAUUUUUUAUUUUUGAAAAAAAAAAGGGGGGCGCGUCACAAAUCGGAGCGGGGGCGGGGGGGGGGGANNNNNNNNNNNNNNNNNNNNNNNNNNNNNNNNNNNNNNNNNNNNNNNNNNNNNNNNNNNNNNNNNNNNNNNNNNNNNNNNNNNNNNNNNNNNNNNNNNNNGCAAGAUGGUGGAGAGUGAGGACUGCCCAGAUACGCGCAAAGAGAGAUGGUCAGCUGCAACUAAAAUGGCAAAAAAAAGACCACGAUCUAUUAACCCCUUGCGAAACAUAAAUAGAUCAGCAAGCAGGAAGACGGGGUCGCAGUCCCCAGAGGGAGAUCUCAGUCAAGACAGACCGACGGGCAAGAAGAAGAGGUCGCGGUCCUCGGAGGGAGAUCUCCACCAGGUCAAAUCGCACCUCGUGCUUCCGUUCGGGGUCGCCAUCGCGUUGCUUGAUGGACAAGGUCUGUUGCUGCUGAUUCUGCUUACUCUGAGCGAGCUUCUCGCUUGAGUCGUUGCCGAUGAGGAAGGAAGAUGAAGGAAGGAAUCCGCGGAGUGAGAUCUCCGCCAGGUAGAAUUGCACCCCGUGCUUCCGCUUAGGGUCACCAUCGCGUUCCUUGAUGGCCGGAGCCCGUUGCUGCUGAUUCUGAGCAAGCUUUUCGCUUGCGUCGUCGCUGAUGAGGGAGGAAGACGAAGGAAAGAACGUGAUGGGAGAGAGAGCCCUUGAAAAUUGAAAAGAGGAGAGAGGUUUUUCUUGAGCGGGAGUGCGAAGGAAAGAACGUGAGGAGAGAGAGAGCCCUUGGAAAUUGAAAAAAGGGGAGAGGUUUUUCUUGAGCGGGAGUGCGCUUUUACUGUUCUGUCUUUUCUCCGUGCGUUCUCUCGAGAAGAGGAGAGAGCGCGCCGAGCCGAGCGAAUUUUGGACCUCUGACGCUAUUUACACGUGGAGUCACGUGUCGAAUUCUGAAUGAUCUUGCAUCUCGCUGACGUGGAAUGUAAAAUCCAGCCAAUAUUUUCUCGCCUCUUUUCCCCAUUUUCUCUCACUUCCUGGCGUGAUUUGAUGUGUGCAUUUCAUCUCUUUGACCCUAGGAGCUCAUAAGAUGGAUUUGAUGAUUGAAAACGAUGGAUCGGAUCAGUCCUCAAUCAUCUUGAGUUUUUGAAUCGUCAAAUGAAUUUAUUUGAUUUGAUCACGCACGCAACAGCAGGAAGCGAGAGAAAUUGAGGAAAAGAGACGCGUGGAUGUGAAGGAUCUUUUCUCGAAGCUUAUUCGGAGAUCUCUCCAGAUGGUCAGGGAUAGAGAAGGAGAAGUAGUCAUAUGCUGGAAGGGCCUCUAAUCUUUGAUCGCUCAACCAUUUUUGGGGCUUCUUAUUGAUUUUCCCCAUUACCAAUUGAUGUUUACUAAAUUACUUCAUGUGCACCUUGCAACAGGGACGCACGUCCUCUGCACAUCAUAACGUCAUUUUAUCGAUAAGAAGCAUUACCAAAUGAUGUUUACCAAAUUACUUCGUGUGUAGAUUACCAAAGGAUGUUCAUUUUCACGUGCAUAUUGCUACAAAAAUUGUAACAACCUUAACCCCAUCUAUAGGGUCACAAGUAACAGGGGUUAUUUUUGCAACAUCCCAAGUGCCUUGCCGUCCCAUUUCUUUUAUCUUUUAAUUAUGAACAUGCAAAAAAGCGUACAUACAACAUCGAAACAAUAACAGGCACCCAUGAAUACAACUUUUCAAUACACUACUUAUAUUACAUAAGUAUAUUUUACAAAAUCCCAACGAGGCCUCUAGCCGAUUGCUGGAGGCUAGGCGACUGGCCAAAGGAAGAAGAGCAAAAAAGAUAAAAGACAAAAAUAAAAAAUAAAAAAAUAUUUUAACAAAUUUGAAAAUAUUUAAAUGUUAAUAAGUUUUGUCCACGUUAGCAUUGGUUAUGCCAUAUAGGACAACGGGUGUCCACAUCAGCCAAUUUCGGCCAAAAUUGGUCAAAUGGACUAAACUAACAAGAAGUGAAAAGAUUUAUGACUUAAUUGGCAAAAUUGAAUGUUUUAUGACUGAAUUGACAAAUGUAAAAUAGGUUUAGGACUUUUUGAACAAUUUCCCCAUAAAUCAUAAAAAAUAAUUAACAACUUUAAGAACAUCGGCGAUUCGCCAAGAAAGUUAUCGACAUCAAACAUCAUUAACCUUCACCAGGAUGAAGGUUACUGGCAUGCUCUCUAAAUUAGCUAAAUAUGACGAGGACCUGGGUCCUGUGUGUUUUUCGCUACUAGUCGACUCAGAUCUUAAAAUAUUAUCGAAACUAGAAAUAGUAUUAAUUGGUAUUCUUUUUUCUUUUUUUCUAAUUUGGUGUUUUGAGAGUCAAGGGGUAAGGUGCUUGACUGUUACUGUGGCUUUUUUGAGUGGGAAAAACCAACGCCGACACCACUCAGAUUCAUAGCUCAGGCUCUGAAGACGUGUUGUUACAUAUCCAGAGGAAGAGGAGAGGAUGAAGUCCAGCCGAAAAUCGGCUGGGCGGUCGCGGAUGCAGAAGCAAAGGCACUUGGACGAGCUCAUGGCCGAUGUGGAUCAGCUGAGGAAGGACGACGACUAGACCAUCCCGAGCAUCACCAUCACCACACACCACUUGCAGAGGCCGAAAACUCGAUUGUGAGAGCUAGAGACUCCAGUCCCCCAACAACAUUCUUUUAUUUCUUACGAAAAAGUAUCGGAGAGUUUUCCAGGAGGAAGAUGGGUGAGGAAGAUGAAGAGAGAAAAGAAAAAGAAAAAGAUUAAAUAAAGAUAAAUGGAGGAUAAAAUCUCCAUAUCCUUGAUAUUUUCAAGGAGACAGGCAUGAUUAUAUUGUUGAGAUUAAAUUGAUUAAUCUUCCCUUCUCAUUUCUUUCUUUUUGGGCCAAGAUUUUAUAAGGCAAUCACUCUGCAUCCUUGAUAUUUUCAAGGAGACAUGCAUGAUUAUAUAUUUUUUAUUUUUUACAAGAAAAAUUAGUGUGCCAUUUCGUGAUUUUGAUACAAUAAAGAUAAAUGGAGGAUAAAAUCUCCGUAUCCUUGAUAUUUUCAAGGAGACAGGCAUGAUUAUAUUUUUUUUAUUUUUAACAAGAAAAAUUAGUGUGCCCUUUCGUGAUUUGAUACAAUAAAGAUAAAUGGAGGAUAAAAUUUCCGUAUCCUUGAUAUUUUCAAGGAGACAGGCAAUAUAAAUAGGGAGACAUUAAAUAGGGAUAUUGAAUAAAUAGAGACAUCUAUAAUCAUGAUUGAAGGUAAACAAUAAAAUGGCAAUCCCUUAUGCAUGAAAAUUGAAUAUAAGCAAAUCAAGGAAAAAUUUAUAAAUGAUAUGAUUUGAUUAACGAUAUUCUGCUUGAUAAGUUGCCUUCAUGCUGACUUGAAAACUUCACGCUACAACUGUGCUGAUAUUUUUCCAUUUGAUUUAUUGCUUCAAUAGUAUUCACCCCAAACACUCGAAUGAAAAUCCAUCGGCCGGUCUUCAACCGCGUGGCUUGUUCCUUUGUUCAGAGAAGAAGAUUGAAUUUCUGAAACCUAGAUCGACAUAGUUUCCCCAUUUUUUAUGUUUCAUUUUUGGAUAUUAGUGAUAUAGCCAGUAUAAGUACCUAGAGGGGAGUGAAUAGGUAUAUAAAGGAUUUUUCUCGAUAAUUGCACAAUACUAGACAAUUGAUAGAUUUGAGACAAACAAUAAUCAGAGUAAGAUUGAGAGAAGAGAAAAUUGAACACGUGGUUUAUAGUGGUUCGGCUUAUUUCAAGCCUACGUCCACUCUUCUGCACUGACAGCCUAUUGGCUGGAUUCCACUAUGAACAAAGAGAUGUUACAGCGUUGUUCUCCCUUGAUUUCUCGGUGUAGAUGAUCUACCACACUCGCUCAAGGUAUCACUACGUAUAGACACUCUUUGUGUAUACAAUUUCGCUCAAAAUGUAUCGACUAAUAAUCAAGGUGCUUCAGACUCUGGAAUUUCUCUAUCGAUCAUGCACUAAAGCAACUAGAACGUCUUCCUUUUAUACUCUUUUAUGCCAUCAUACCCGUUGGCACUUACCAAAGGAAUUCCUCCAAUCUAUCCGUUGGGCGGAAUCAAUCAAGAAGAUCAUUCGAGCUAUUAAAGGAACCUGACAAUAGCCCAUCAAUCGUGUUCGCCCAUACAAUCAGGAUCUUGGUUUUCAAGAAUAGAACCUUCCAAGAAUAUUUUGUCGACCAUCGGAUCUUCAAACGAUCUUGAUUACGAAUAAAAGAAUCCAUUAUAUUUAUCUAGCCAAGAGAUCUUCUCCAGAGGAUAGGACUGAAUCCUCAACCAAAUACUUGGGCUCUGGAUUGCCUUUGUCACUGGAUUAGAAAAACUGUCAAUGAGAAUAGUCUUGAGUCUUGAGUCUUGAGUGCUGAGUCUGGUAAUCUGAAAGUCUUCAGAUUCUAAACAGAAGGUCUGUAUUUAUCCAGACUAGACUGAUAGCAACGUUUUGUCAGCUUCAAAAUAUUCUGGAAAGAUUUCUCCAACAAUCUCCCCCUUUUUUAUGGUGACAAAACUUUCCUGUAGUUUUGAUCAACUUUGACCUGCAAAACAUUACUAAAGCAAUAUGGCUAUCUCAUAAAGAUUAAUAAAUCAACUAGAUUCCGCAUCCACAGAAAAUCGGUUAGUCUUUCAUGAGUAAGACCAUACAACAACACUUGAUAUAAAUGCAAACAGUCAAACAUCAAAAUCCACACCCAAGUCAGUUAAAUUCAAGUUCACACCCAAGUCAUGCUAAAAAACAAAUAUUCAAACACACAAAAGAAAUUUAAAGUCAAAGUUUAAAGAGUUCAAAUUGCAAUUCUCCCCAUUUUUGUCAUCAUUAAAAAGGUGAGAAAAGAGUCAAGUCUGCUUGGGAACGCGCACAAUCUGGAAAUCUCCCAUCGACUGGACGAUGCCUUCCAGCCUCUUCAAGUCUUCCCGUAGAUGAGCCACCUCUUCUCCUUUGGCAUUGGCUUGAAUUUGAAGAGCGAGGUCUUUCAUUUGAUCCGCCAGGGUAACAGAAGAUGCUUGUCCAGCAUUCUUCAGGACUUGAAGUUCACAGUCCAGAGCAUAGAUUUGACCCUGCAUUUCCAGAAGAACAUCAAGGAUACGACGAAAAUCUGCGGUAUUGUCCGUCUGUGUGCUCGCAUUUGCUCUUUCGGAUGGAGUGAAGGCAGACGAUGGAACUUCGGUGUAAUCGAGCAGAUUUGGUGUUGACGUAUCAUGUCCUUCCUCAGGCAUUUGAGAAGCCUGAAAAUCUUCUGGAUUUGCUGGUGAGCGACUCACGCCUUCACUGUUGACAGCAUGUGGUGUAGUCCUUCCUUGCUCGCCAUCUCCCCCUGUCUCUAGGACCUCAAUUGGGGAAGAGUGAUGGUCAUGCUCUUCAGCGUCUUGAUUCCCUUUCUCUCCGGCUUCAUCUGCAGACUUUUCUUUUACUGCUUCUCCUUCUUCUUCAGCUUCUUUCUCUUCCUCUUGUUGCUCAUUUGCUUCUCUGUUCUUUGCUUGUCCCUCUUCUUCUCUCUAUUCUUUUUCCUCUGCUUCUUUUCCUUUCUUCUGUCGUUCUGUUGAUUCAGGUACAGAACGUCUGGUCCUUUUCAAUGCAGAGAUAGUGAGAUCUUCCUCUUCAUCUUCAUCCUCCAAGAUAAGAGUUCUUAUCUUUUUGGAUGGAGCACCCAUGGGCUCUUUCCCUUUUCUCUUUGAUGCAGAAGAUACUGGAGUCUUCACUUUGAACUUCUCCAUUGCCUUAUUAAGCUCUUUCAAACGCAUUUUUGUCAGCAUUUUCAAACCCACCACCAUUUUGUCGCAUGGUCGAACACAAAGAGUAUGUGGAGGUUCAAUGUUCAAGUGUUUGAAGAUCUUGGUCACAAGACCUGGAUAAGGCAAUUGGCCCUUGUCCUUCACCAUUGCUCUGUACAUGUGAAAGAGAAUGGUGUGAGGGAGAGAGAACUUCUUCCUUGAAUUGAUUGCGUACAUCAAUUUCGCCUCGGAGUUAGACACGUCAGUCUUGGAUGUAGACUUUGGCCUGAUACAGUUGAUCACAAUUUUGUGAAGCAAGAUGUUGAUGGCAUGCAUUCUUGUGUAGGUAACUCUUCCUUCUGUGCUCCUAUCUUUGACAAGUUCCAGUGUGGUACGAGUGAUUGAAACCUUGAUCAGUUGAUAUCGUCCUCUUUCAACUCCAAUUAUGUCUGCCAACAUGUCCACAUCUACCACAUAGACUUGGUCUCGAACACUGAAGGAUAUUCUAUUCGCAUCUAAAAAGCUAAGAUUCGAGUAGAAGUAUGCUGUCAAUUGCGCAUAACCGUCUGUGGUAUCAGAGCAAAAUUGCUCAAGUUGAAGCAGAUUGAACUUCUCCCGUAAGUUCACAUUAAUGGCAUCCAAGAAAUCGAAAUCAACACUCCUAGGGUUUAUCACCCCUCAUUUCAACAGUCUGAAGAACAGAUUCUCCUGUUCCUUCGAUUUAAACAAAUCCAUCAUUUUUCCCCUCACUUUCGCAGCAACACCCAUUCUAGGUUGAAAUUCACUAAACAUUUUAUCAUCAUCGUUCCCGUCAGUCGGAUUCAGUCCCGAUACACGAGGGUCACUUGGAAUGUUCGCAAGUGCUUCCUCAGCCUUUCCUUUGGGAGCAAUUCCCAAAUCCUCCAUUCGUCGCAAAAAGAUAUACUCAUUCCCAUAAUUCUUAUCUUUAAGGAAGUCAUCUAUGUAGUUCAGCGGAGUCGCAAUGCUCUUCAAUGCACGAUAGAGCUUGUAAAUAAAAGAGUGUUUUUGGACUCUUACAGGGUCUGCGUCCUCGAUUAUUUCUUCCUCCGGUUGUUGACCCGCACCUUGUGAGGUAGAUAGUGAAGAGUGACGUGGUGGAGAGUGAAUCGGGCUUUGUUGCUGACUCGAUAAAUCUUCCUCUUCGGUGAGAUCGAAAUGGGUAGGCCCCUCCCUCAUUCUCUGUGGUCCCCUGUUCGCAAUUCUUGAAGACUUUCUCGAAGAAGACAUCCUUCCUUGUCGUUGAAAGAUUCCUUUACUCGCUUUCCCAAGAAAAGAUGACAACUUUCUCGAAGAUAAACACGAAGUAGAGACAGGAUUGGGAGGAGAAUGCCUUUUUAGGGUUUUGAAGUUUAAGCGAGGAAAACUGUAUAUAUAUACUGCUCAAUUUAAAAAGGAAAAACCAAUUGGCACAAAGGAAAAUGAACAGACGCCUCUUUUAAAAUCGAUAACUACUAAAUACAAGUUAAUCUUUUUGAAAAGACAAGAUUCAGUUUUUCACGGAAAUUAUAAAUUAACUGAACUAAUGAUCGUACCUUUUCGAGAUUGAAUAAAAUAACAACUUACAGUCUAUAGCCAUGAAUGUCUGAGUCUGAGGGUUGGAGAGUCUCUAGACUUUAACUUCCUCAAGCUUCAAAAUGUUGAGUCUGGAACGGAUAAAAUCGAAUUGAUUUUUCUCUAAAGGCUUUGUGAAUAUAUCCGCUAGUUGAUUUUUUGAAUCAACAAAUUGAAUCGAGAUUUCUCCAUUUUGAACAUGAUCUCUAAUGAAAUGAUGUCGAAUCUCUAUAUGCUUUGCUCUUGAGUGAAGGAUUGGAUUUUUAGUGAGAUUGAUUGCGCUGGUGUUAUCGCAUCUAAUCUCUGUGCAUGAGUCUUCAAUUCCAAAGUCUUGUAGCUGUUGUUUUAUCCAUAGAAUUUGCGAACAGCAACUUCUAAGAGCUACAUACUCUGCUUCUGUUGUUGAGAGAGCCACAGUGCUUUGUUUCCUUGAAAACCAAGACAUUGUCGUGCUUCCAAGCAACUGGCAAGUUCCCGAAGUGCUCUUUCUAUCAACUCUGCAACCGGCCAGAUCUGCGUCUGAAUAUUCCAGAAGAUUAAAGUCUCCAUUCUUAGGAUACCAAAGACGGAUGCUUGAAGAUGAAGCAACGUAUUUAAUAAUACGUUUCGCAGCACUGAGAUGGGAUUCUCUAGGAUCUGAUUGAAACCUAGCACAGAUGCAAACACUCAACAAAAUGUCAGGUCUAGAAGCAGUAAGAUAAAGAAGUGAACCAAUGAUGCUCCUGUACAACUUUUGAUCAACUUUCUUCCAUUCUUCAUCUUUGUCUAUCUUCAAAGAACUUGACAUCGGUAUGUCGGUCUUUUUGCACUUUUCCAGUCCAAACCUUUUGACAAGAUCAUUAGCAUAUUUUUCUUGAUAAAUAAAAGUUCAUUCCUUCAAUUGUUUUACUUGAAGACCAAGAAAGAAUGUUAACUCUCCCAUCAUACUCAUUUCAAACUCGUCCUGCAUAGACUUAGAAAAUUUCUUGCACAGACUUUCAUUAGAGGAUCCAAAAAUAAUAUCAUCCACAUAUAUUUGAACAAGUAAAAAACUUUUGUUUUCCUUUUUGAUAAAUAAAGUAGUAUCUACUUUACCUUUGACAAAACCAUUAUGUAUUAAGAACUUACUUAGUCUGUCGUACCAAGCUUGAGGUGCUUGCUUUAAACCAUAUAAGGCCUUUUUCAGUCUGAAGACUGAGUCUAGCUUCUUUGGGUCUUCAAACCUUGGUGGUUGUUCCACAUAAACUUCCUCAUGGAUAAAUCCAUUUAGGAAGGCACUUUUGAUGUCCAUUUUGAAUAACCUGAAAUUUUUGUAACAAGCAAAUGCAAGUAAUAGUCGAAUAGCUUCUAACCUUGCUACUGGUGCGUAAGUCUCAUCAUAAUCUAUUCCUUCUUCUUGCGUAUAUCCCUUGGCCAUGAGUCUUGCUUUGUUUCGUACGACUCUUCCUUUCUCAUUCAUCUUGUUCCUAAACACCCAUUUAACUCCAAUAACAGUUUUACAUUUUGGUUUAGAUGUCAAUUCCCAGACAUCAUUAAUGUUGAACUGUCUGAGCUCUUCUUGCAUAGCUUCAAUCUAGCUUUCAUCAGAUAAAGCUUCUUCUAUGCUCUUUGGUUCAAUUUCUGAAAUGAGAGCCACAGCACUAGACUCUUCACGCCUUUUGGAUCUGGUGCGAAUUCCUUCAUUAAUUUCGCCGAUAAUGAGAUCUUUGGGAUGACUGGACUUAUGCUUCCAGUUACUGGUUGAUUUGUCUAGUUGAUGAUCUCUUUCUUUAUUUGAAUCUUCACGAACAGCUUGAUGCUAGUCUUCCAGAGUCUGAGAUGCUUCUUGAGUUGUAAGCUUUGGAGGGUCUGGAGCAGGUUCAGACUCUUCAUGAUGAGUCUGACUGGAUUCAUCUUGCGUAGAGUCUUGAAAUUUGACAUUCAUUGACUCCUCCACAAACUGGCUCUUCUUGUUAUAGACUCUGUAGGCUUUGCUUGAUGUAGAAUAUCCAAGGAAGAUGCCUUCAUCUGAUCUUUCUUCAAACUUACCAACUCGAUCUUUUGCAUUUUUCAAUAUAAAGCAUUUGCAACCGAAUACAUGAAAGUAUGAAACAAUAGGCUUCUUAUCUUUGAAUAACUCAUAAGGGGUUUUCUCUAGAAUAGGUCUUAAGAAGACUCUAUUGAUGAUAUAGCACGCUGUUGAAACAGCUUCAGCCCAAAAUCGUGAAGAAAUCUUACUUUCAAUUAAAAGAGUUCUAGCCAUUUCUUGAAGAGAUCUAUUCUUUCUUUCCACAACUCCAUUUUGCUGAGGAGUAUAUGGAGAGGAGAACACAUGCUUAAAGCCAGAUUCAUCACAAAAUUUUGUAAAAUCUUGAUUUUCAAAUUCACUUCCAUGAUCUGUUCUUAUACUUGAGAUAACACAUCCUUUUUUCAUUUUGAACAUUUUUAGCAAAUUUUUCAAAAUACGAGAAGGUUUCGGACUUACUUGCAAGGAAAUAUACCCAAGUAAAGCGGGAGUAAUCGUCCAUAAUUACUAGGCAAUAUUUCUUACCUCCAAUACUCUGGGUUCUGGUUGGUUCGAAGAGAUCCAUAUGCAGCAACUGUAGUACAUGAUUAGUAGAGACAUGAUUUAUUGGCUUAAAUGAAUUUCUUACUUGCUUUCCCAGAAUACAUGGAGUGCAUGGAUCAGUCUUUUGGUAUGGUAAUUUGGGUAGACCUCAAACAAGCUACUUUGAUGAGAUUUUGGCUAAUUGCUUCAUGUUGACAUGACCAAGCUUUCUGUGCCAUAAGCUUGCUUCGUAUUGAAUUGAGAUUAGGCAUUGCGAUUCAUUUGGUUUCACAUCUAGAAGAUAGAUAUUUCCAUGUCUUCGACCCAUGAAAGACUGAGUAGAGUCUUUACUGGUUCCAGAACAUGUUCCUUCUUGAAAGAAGAUCUUAAAACCAGUAUCACACAAUUGGCUAAUGCUGAGAAGAUUGUAAUUGAGUCCUUCCACUAGGGAAACAUUACUUAUUGUGAGAUUUCCAAUUUUCACAGUUCCAAAUCCCACAAUACUUCCUUUGUUGUUUCCUCCAAAUGAAACUUUUCCACCAUUUACUUGAACAAGCUUUAUGAAGCAAUUUGAGUCUCCUGUCAUGUGUCUUGAGCAUCCACUGUCAAGAUACCACUUUACCUUUUUCUUGAUGGAGACCUGCAUUUAAAAGAGAGUCUCAAGCUUUCUUUGGUACCCAAAUUUUCUUGGGUCCUUUGGUGUUAGUAAGAUAAAUAGUAUUAGCCCAUACUUUCUUAACAGGUUUCUGAACCAUAGGACACUCUUUUUCAAAGUGAUCCGGACUGUUGCACUUUGAACACCUGAGGGCAUUUCGACCUACAGACUUUACAAAAACUUUCUUGAAAUGAUUUUUGUAAGCCUCUCUCGAGGGUCUUUCCUCAAUUCUUUCUUUUACUUUAGGAAAAUCAAUCAAGGGAAUUGUUUCUGCUGUCAUACCUAGACCGGACUUAUUGAAGUAAGGUCUUUGAGCUGAAAGAAUUUUUUCAAGUUUUUCGGACCUUAUUGAAAAUUUCUUUGAAAUAUUUGAUAAGUCAGUUUUUAAAAGGGCAUUUUCUUUCAAAAGAUUAUCUUCAUUUUCUUUAAGAGUGGAAACAUUCAAAUCUAAACUUUUAACUCUUUCUUCUAAAAUGUUUUCCUUUUGUUUUAGAGCUAAGUUUUCCUUUUUAAGUUCGGAAAUUCUUUUGAGAGAAGUCUUAAGACUAAAACACAGUUCAUCAAUGUAUUUAGAAACUUUGACAGGAAUUUUAAAAUUACUUGCCUCAAAUUCACUGUCUGAGUCUGAUCCAAAGUCUGAGUCUGAGUUUGAUUGUGCCAUCAAACAUAGGUUGUCAUAUUCAUUAUCACUUUCUUCACACUCUGUAUCACUUUAGGUUUCGGCUUUGAGAGCUUUUCGAAACUUUUCAGCUUUUCCUCUCUUCUUCUUCAGAAGAGGACAGUUGGGUCUGAUGUGUCCAUUUUUCUUACAUUCAAAGCAAACUAUAUCUUUGUUUGGUUCCUCAUCAUCAACAGACUUGGUCUGCUGUCUUUGAAAACUUUGUUUCUUUGAGUUGAACCUUCUUCCUUUUCUAUUCAGUUUUCUGAAUCUUCUUAUCAUGAGAGCAAGCUCCUCAUCGUCCAUAUCAUCUUCAGAAUCUGUAUCAUCAGAAUCAUCAUUUGAUUUUAAUGCAAUGGAUUUCUUAACUUUUGGAUCUUCGUCUUCAUUAAUUCGUUCCACUUCAUAAGAUUGAAGAGUUCCAAUCAGCUCGUCGACAGAUAGUGGCAUAAUUCUUUGCGUCUCUCUUAUUGAAGUCUUUAUGUGAUUCCAAUCCUUGGAGAGUCCACGCAGUAGCUUGUUUACCUUCAUGGGAUCAGAAAUUGUUUGUCCUUGAUUCUCAAGACCAUUGACAAUAUCUGUAAAAUGGUUAAACAUGUCAGUUAUAGAUUCUCCUGGUUUCAUUUUGAAGGCUUCAUAUUGACCGAGGAGAAUGUUAAUUCUGGUUUCCUUCACUCAAUCUGUUCCUUCAUAGGUGAUAUGUAAUAUGUCCCAAACUUCUUUUGCUGUAACACAAGAAGAUAUUCUGUUAUAUUCAGUUGGUGACAAAGCACAAUAUAAAGAGUAAAUUGCUUUUGCAUCGAGUGCUUGUCUCUUGAUUAUCUCUUCCUGAGUCAUUCCGCUGGUCUCAACAGUUUCUUUCCCUCUUUCAGAGAUUGAUGCAGCUAUAGGAGUAAUUCUUUUUUCUACAACGUCCCAUUCCAGAGGAUCCUUUGAUCGUAGGAAAGCUUUCAUCUUGUUCUUCCAGAUGUUGUAAUCCUUUCCAUCAAAGUAGGGUGGUCUGGUAUUGCUUUGCCCUUCCAUCAGCCCUGGUGCUAGCAUACUAGCCAUGGAUCUUUUACUCUGAAGUAAAACACUUCAAAUAAAGUGAGUACACGAGCUCUGAUACCAAUUGAUAUAGCCAGUAUAAGUACCUAGAGGGGGGUGAAUAGGUAUAUAAAGGAUUUUUCUCGAUAAUUGCACAAUACUAGAUAGUUGAUAGAUUUGAGACAAACAAUAAUCAGAGUAAGACUGAGAGAAGAGAAAAUUGAACACGCGGUUUAUAGUUGUUCGGCUUAUUUCAAGCCUACGUCCACUCUUCUGCACCGAUAGCCUAUUGGCUGGAUUCCACUAUGAACAAAGAGAUGUUAUAGCGUUGUUCUCCCUUGAUUUCUCGGUAUAGAUGAUCUACCACACUCGCUCAANNNNNNNNNNNNNNNNNNNNNNNNNNNNNNNNNNNNNNNNNNNNNNNNNNNNNNNNNNNNNNNNNNNNNNNNNNNNNNNNNNNNNNNNNNNNNNNNNNNNUCGACUAAUAAUCAAGGUGCUUCAGACUCUGGAAUUUCUCUAUCGAUCAUGCAUUAAAGCAACUAGAACGUCUUCCUUUUAUACUCCUUUAUGCCAUUAUACCCGUUGGCACUUACCAAAGGAAUUCCUCCAAUCUAUCCGUUGGACGGAAUCAAUCAAAAAGAUCAUUCGAGCUAUUAAAGGAACCUGACGAUAGCCCAUCAAUCCUGUUCGCCCAUACAAUCAGGAUCUUGGUUUCCAAGAAUAGAACAUUCCAAGAAUAUUUCGUCGACCAUCGGAUCUUCAAACGAUCUUGAUUACGAAUAAAAUAAUCCGUUAUAUUUAUCCAGCCAAGAGAUCUUCUCCAGAGGAUAGGACUAAAUCCUCAACCAAAUACUUUGGCUCUAGAUUGCCUUCGUCACUGGAUUAGAAAAACUGUCAAUGAGAAUAGUUUUGAGUGCUGAGUCUGGUGAUCUAAAAGUCUUCAGACUCUAAACAGAAGGUUUGUAUUUAUCCAGACUAGACUGAUAGAAACGUUUUGUCAACUUCAAAAUAUUCUGGAAAGAUUUCUCCAACAAUUAGACCAAUACACAAAUCGCCGACCUAGGAGUGGCACUUUGCAUUGUGAAACAUCAUUGUUGGAAUUAGCAAGUCACAAAUUUGCAAUUAAGUCCAGAGUUAUAAAAUUGAAAUGAGAAACACAAUCAGGAACAAUAGAAGGACAUAAGAAACUUAUAUGAUUUGAUUCGAAUAUUGAAACUUACAUACACGAAGAAAGUCAAUAAAUAAUCUACUAAUAAAUUGAAGAAUUAUAUUGUUACAGUCAUUCAAAUAUUAUGGUGUUUUCUAACCCUAGUAUAUACUCAAUAUCUUUAGUGUUUAACAACUCGAUCAAUCGAUCUACUUGCAAAUCUCUCCAAAGACAAAUGGCAUGCGCCCAUCUCUCGAACUCUUUGCUUCCCUUCAUCUCUCGCUUUCCACCUGUACAGGAUAAUGCAUGUAGAAACAAGGCAAAUGGCUCCCAUCCUCAAAGUCAUGCGCCUCUAGACAAUUAAUCAUGGGAUGCGCGCGCGACACCAUUAAUGCAUGCGAAAAAAUUGAGCUUCACCUCUGCCCUCCCUGAUAGAGCGAGACGAACGCAUCUGGAGCAAAAAGUCAAGGAGAUAAUAAAUGAGAGGAGAAAAGACAACGUAUGGAUUGGAUGGUGACCUUUGUCUUGAACGUGCAACACGUGCACUGUGCAGCCUCGACUAAUAAAUUUAAGAAUGCAAGAUUCGCCUUCAAUCAAUGCUGCCCAUUGGCCAUGAAAAAAAAAAGCUGGAUAAUUCUUCAUCUGCACGGAAAGAUUACGUGCAGAACAUGCGCCGUUUCUCGUUAAACGCUUCGCAGACGUGCUUCUCCCUUAUAAAUAAAUGUUACGCGUGGGUGUAAUUUAUUAAUCACACUACUUGAUGGUUAUUUAUAGAUAUCUUUAUAACCACCCUAUUACUUGGAUUGAUAUUAAGAUUAAAUUAAUCAUAUUUCAAUGAAUAAUACACUAAGUGAAAUUAUUUCAUAUGAAAAGAAAGAUACUCCUCAUGGUAUAAUUGAUCUUAUUCAUUCCACCCUUGAUAUGACAAUAGCUCUUCGUAUAUUUAAAUAUGGCUAUUUUUUUUUUUUUGGAAAAAUAAAACUUAUAACUUAUCAAGCAAUAGAUUGUGUCUCUUCCGUAACUAGAUCACGGGUCCUUCUUAAAGGAAAUUUGAUAUUGUUAUACAUAUCUUUGGUAUAGACAGAAUCUAGUCAUAAAGCGAACGACAAAUAUCAUUUCCGACUUACAAUUUGAGUGGCCUACCCAAUUGGUUGGUGGGGGAGCUCGAUUUGCUCUGCCACGAUUUUGGAUUCAUUUGUCGAGUCACGUCAUUGCUUUAGACACUAUUAUUUUUGUAUCCCAAGGGGAUUGGGAUUAGGGACUUCUUAUUCUUCUUGCAAUUGAGCCGGAAAAUCAUCGAAAUAGCAAGAAGCGGGACAAUAAACGUUCUUUCCCUUUCGCAUGUCAUCAUGCAGACUAGCAAUCCACCUUUUGACAGCCCGAGUAAGGAGGUCUGCUUCUUAAACGUGAGAAGAUUGGACACCAUCACUACUCUUGCCAACAAUCAUGGGCAAAAUCUUCAUGGAAAAGGUGCUUAGCGCUCCUAUUCUUGCCGAGGAACAAACUCUACUUUUAAAUUCCCAAUCCUCUACGCAUCAAACACAAUUUGGCCGGUCCGUAGCAUUGCCAAAUGAUUUUUUUUUUUUGGGUCGAAUAAGGAAAUAUUUCUAUUCAAGUAGGAAAGAAAGAACAACCCUUAACCAGGACAUGAGUACAUAUUAUAUCCAACAUAACUUGAGGAGGAGAAUGAACCUAGGUUGGUGAAAGGAGGCCUCAACGUGGGCCUUCACGGCCCAAUCAGCAAGGGCAUUUGCCUCACGCUGACAAUGCUUCACUGAGAGAUUUGAGAUACAGAGCAUCAGGGCUGCGCAUUUAGCGAACAGAGCACGACAAUCCCACGGCAGCAUAUGGCAAUGGUUGAUCAAAUUAGUUUCACGUGCACAUUGCAACAAGAAUCGUGUUUUGAUUUGUGGAGAACGUGGAAUUGAAUAAUAGAUUUUGUCCUUUAACAAGAGAUGGGACCGCCGGCUUCCUAUUUCUCGCUUAGGGCCAAACUGUACUACUCAACUUCGAAUCCUCUACCGCAUCAAACACGAUUUGAUUGGUCUGUAGCAUUACCAAAUAGUUUACCAAAGUAGUUCGUGUACAGAUUGUAACGAGAAUCGUGUUUUGAUGUGUGGAGAACGUGGAAUUGAAUAAUAGAUUUUGUCCUUUAACAAGAGAUGGGACCGCCGGCUUCCUAUUUCUCGCUUAGGGCCAAACUGUACUACUCAAUUUCGAAUUCUCUACGCAUCAAACACGAUUUGAUUGGUCUGUAGCAUUACCAAAUAAUGUUUACCAACGUAGUUCGUGUAUAGAUUGCAACAAGAAUGAUGCUUUGAUGUGUGGAGGACGGGGAAUUGAAUAAUAGAGUUUGUCCUUUAACAAGAGAUAGGACCAUUGGCCUCCUUAAUUUAGGAGCAGUUUUUCCAUGAAGAUUUUGUCCGUGAAUGUAGACCUCCUUACUCAAGCCAUUGAAAGGUGGAUCGCUAGUGUAUGCAUGAUGACAUGCAAAAUGGAAAUAACGUUCAUUGUCCUGCUUCUUACUAUUUCGAUGAUUAUCUAUGGUAUUGGUAGAACUCUUUCCGCUAAAUUGCAAGAAUAAUUUCUAUAGGAAUGACGUGAGUCCACAAGUGAAUUUAAGAUCGUGGCAGAGCCAAUCAAGCUCCACCAUUGUUGAUAUUUAAAAAAGACCAAUUUUUUUAUAUAACAAACAAGCAACAAACUUAGUCAAUAAUAACAAAGUUUGAUGAGCAACAAAAGUCAUAAGAACAGUGGCCAACUGGAAGAACAUCAAUGACUUGGCAAGAAAGUUAUUGAUAUCAAACAUCAGUAAUUGAUGAAAACCUUCACUGUGAAUGAAAUCAUCGGCAUCGACAUGUAACUAACAUGUAGCAAUAUUUUCGGAUAUGUAACUUAUUUAGGUAAGCAUUAUAAGAAUGUAGGUAACUUUUGAGUCAUUGUGCUUAGUGCCUCUAUUUUUGGAUCUUUGUAAUGUAAUUUCUCGUAACUGUAGAUAGGAAUAGGAAGUUAUUUGUUUUGAAAUCAAUAACCAUUUGUAACCGUUGAUGGUAGGUUUAAAUAGCCAUGUCAUACUCUUUUUUUUAAACCUAUCCACUCAAUCAUAGAACUUAUCAUUCUUUGCAAAUUUAUCCUUUUUUUUUAUAUAGUGGCGAUUGCCUCUAGUCUUUGUACCUUUAAAUUUCUUGUCAUUUACUUUCUUGUCCAAACUCAACAAAUCCAUUUAUAUUCGAAAGGUACUUCAUCAUUGAUUCAUUUUUUAUGAAACAUCUUUUUGGAUAUUUUGAAAGGUAAUUUGUUGUCGAUUCAAUUUGAGCAAAACAACCACCAUCCAAGUAGGAAAUUUAAAUUUUAAGUCAAAAACACGUACUUUAUGAUUAUACUCAGCUCACUACAAAGAGAUAAUCAUCAGACCGCAUGUAUGAACAGAGCCCAAUGUGAUUGGUGUUGUCUCAAAACUAGUCCAACUAAAAAGGCGGUUAUCAACACAAUUUGCCUAUUGGGGUAAUGACACAAAUGGUUUUCAACAUUGGCUCAAUCAAUGUGUAAUGUGGUUUUUGAAAUUUUAAUUUAUUUAAUGCGAUUCCUGAAUUGUAGUUUAAUGUGCAAUGUUGUGCCUGAACUUUUAAUUUUCUCAAUGUGGUCCUGAACUUUUUGUGUAUAUUCAAUUUAGUCCAUGAACUAUAUGAAAAAUGUUAAAUAUUUAUCAUUUCAUUAAUUCAAAUUCAAGAAGAACAUUGAAUAUUUUAUAUAACUCGGGGACUAAAUUAAAUAUGUACCGAAACUUUAGGAAUCACAAUGAACUAUGUAAAAGUUCAUGAACCAUAUUGCACAUUAGGCGAAAAUUUAAGAACCACAUGGAAUAAAUUAAAAGUUUUGAAACACAUUGCACAUUGAGACAAAGUUUAAGAACCAUUUGUAUCAUUUUCUCUCUAUAAAUAGUCAUCAAGUAGUGAUUUUCUACAAUGCAAAUAGCCACUCCUUGGUCUUCAUCUUGUGUAUUGGCCUGAUAUCCACCAACGAAGCAUACAAAAAAAGGGAGAUAUGUCGGUUCCAGUUUCAGCAAUUCCAUCAUCUUCUCCGAACAAAGAAUCAAGCCGCGUGGUUGAGCGCCGCCGGGCAGAUUAUCAUCCAAGCAUAUGGGGCGAUUACUUCCUCGUAUAUGCUUCUCCCACCAACUCCAUGGUUAGCAGUUUCUCAUAUGGUCAUGUGAAUGAGCCAAUAAUACACGUGUAUAAUGCUUGCUUUUAUUGAAAGUAGCGUCUAUAACAUAUGCAGGAGUUCAAGUACGUUGGAAGAGUGGAGGAACAGAUUGAGGGAUUGAAAGGAGAGGUGAGGAAGAUGCUGACUGAUGCCGUGAAUAAGCCCUCACAAGUGCUGCACUUAAUCGAUCAAAUCGAACGCUUGGGAAUUUUCUACCAUUUCAAACGUGAAAUAGACGAGCAAUUAGAACAAAUCCAUAAAAGUUACUCUCAACUUGUGCAUGGAGAUUUUAAGGGUGAUGACCUUCACAUGAUCGCUCUUAUCUUUCGAUUACUACGACAACAAGGUUAUAAUGUUUCAUCAGGU